rnacentral:rRNA from 1 species
UACGGAGGUGGCAAGCGUUGUUCGGAAUUACUGGGCGUAAAGGGCGCGUAGGCGGCAUGGCAAGUCAGGUGUGAAAGCCCCGGGCUCAACUCGGGAACUGCAUCUGAAACUGCUGUGCUUGAGUCCUGGAGGGGGUAGUGGAAUUCCCAGUGUAGCGGUGAAAUGCGUAGAUAUUGGGAGGAACACCGGUGGCGAAGGCGGCUACCUGGACAGUGACUGACGCUGAGGCGGCGAAAAGCUAGGGGAGCAAACGGG